rnacentral:rRNA from 1 species
UACGUAGGGUGCGAGCGUUGUCCGGAAUUAUUGGGCGUAAAGGGCUCGUAGGCGGUUUGUCGCGUCGGGGAGUGAAAACUCAGGGCUUAACCCUGAGCCUGCUUCCGAUACGGGCAGACUAGAGGUAUGCAGGGGAGAACGGAAUUCCUGGUGUAGCGGUGAAAUGCGCAGAUAUCAGGAGGAACACCGGUGGCGAAGGCGGUCUCUGGGCAUUACCUGACGCUGAGGAGCGAAAGUGUGGGGAGCGAACAGG